CCAGGUUCGAAGGUCAAGAAGAUCCCACACCCAACUAAGAAUCCAUUCACCUGGAUCUUCGCGUUGGUGUCUUGUCCCAACUAUACAUACGAGCUGGGGUCAUGGAUGGGCUUCACAGUGAUGACCCAGUGCUUGCCGGUGGCUUUCUUCACCAUCGUGGGCUUUGUCCUGAUGACGGUGUGGGCCAGGGGAAAGCACCGAAACUACCGCAAGGAGUUCCGUGACUACCCCACCCUGCGCUCCCCUAUACUGCCCUUCAUCCUUUAGUCAGAGAGGGGCUGGUCCCACACAUAACUUCACCCCUUUCAGCCCCACUGCAGUAUACAGCUGGUGCUUCUGACUGGGUAGGUUGGAAGGAGUCGUUGGAAUAGUUUAACUACACUGUGACUGGUUUUGGGGAGUUGAAAACCCCCUUUUGAUGACUUAAAUGCAGAUGAGUCUUAAUCUGAUGUAAUGUGUACUACCGCUAUCUACUGUACAUGUCAAUGUGUGGAGGCACAAACGAAUGGAAAGAAAUACACUUGUUUUACUAAAGUGGUGACUAAACUGA